rnacentral:rRNA from 1 species
AAUGAACGUUGGCGGCGUGGAUUAGGCAUGCAAGUCGUGCGAGAAGUCUUUUGCUUGCAUUAGACGGAAAGCGGCGAAAGGGAGAGUAACGCGUGGGUACCUACCUCUAGGUUCGGGAUAGCUGCGGGAAACUGUGGGUAAUACCGAAUAACAUCUCCGGAUCAAAGGUGUGAUUCCGCCUGGAGACGGGCCCGCGUCCUAUUAGCUUGUUGGUGGGGUAAUGGCUUACCAAGGCAAUGAUGGGUAUCGGGCGUGAGAGCGUGACCCGACUCACUGGGACUGAGACACUACCCAGACACCUACGGGUGGCUGCAGUCGAGAAUCUUCGGCAAUGGGCGCAAGCCUGACCGAGCGACGCCGCGUGCGGGAUGAAGGCCCUCGGGUUGUAAACCGCUGUCAGUUGGGAGGAAAUCACAUGGGGUUCUCUCCAUGUGUUGACCUAUCUUCAGAGGAAGGACGGGCUAAGUUCGUGCCAGCCGCCGCUGUAACAC